rnacentral:rRNA from 2 species
ACAAUGGCAUAUACAAAGAGAAGCGACCUCGCGAGAGCAAGCGGACCUCAUAAAGUAUGUCGUAGUCCGGAUUGGAGUCUGCAACUCGACUCCAUGAAGUCGGAAUCGCUAGUAAUCGUAGAUCAGAAUGCUACGGUGAAUACGUUCCCGGGCCUUGUACACACCGCCCGUCACACCAUGGGAGUGGGUUGCAAAAGAAGUAGGUAGCUUAACCUUCGGGAGGGCGCUUACCACUUUGUGAUUCAUGACUGGGGUGAAGUCGUAACAAGGUAACCGUAGGGGAACCUGCGGUUGGAUCACCUCCUU